CCCCUCGAGGAAGAAGAAUUGGUCGCCUACAUGUUACGCGACCUCGGCAGUGAGUACGACACUCUGGUGGCCAGCAUCACCACACGUGCGGACUCAUAUACUGUCAGUGAUGUCUACGCCCACAUGUUGAGCUUCGAGA